CAUAGCGGCGAGUCUGGGGAGGGUAGAGUCGGUUGCGCCGCUGUGUUUGGUCAGUUGCACCUUCUAGGUCACUGGAAGCGGCGGGAACUGGGUAGGGCCUCGGCGAUGAAAGGGCGUUAAGGACCCGGAGUCAGCCCCUGUCUCAGGACUUAUGUACAUCAAUGGCAGAAUCGUCCAGUGAUUCAGACCGCUUCCACUGUCGUGACCGAUUGAGUCGAUGGGCUGCCAGGUCAACUCACAGGGGAAUUCGAAGUCAUCCUGCAGUAGACGUCACCGAGAAGGUCAACACUAUCACCAGUACUUUACAGGACACCAGUCGAAACCUGAGACAAGUGGACCAGAUGCUUGGACGAUACCGAGAAUAUAGUAAUGGACAGGCUGGUGCUAUAGAACAAUUAAAAGAAAGCUUGGAACAUUCAGUAGGUCAACUACGGAGUCAGCGUUUAUUGAGAAACUCAGGAGCAAGAAGUAUUUCUGUUACAAGUCUGAGUGCCAGUGACUUUGAUGGUGACACUGUGACAGGAAGAGUUACAGACAGUGAGAGACAGAGAGAAAGGUCUUCCUUCCGUUGGUUCACGCCUCAGAUGGCCACAGUGGCCGGAGCUGCGCCGAUCCGAAGCCAGGAACAAGAUGCCUCUUCCUGGUCUCCCCAUGCAGAAAGCCACCACAUUCCACCUACCUCACCUCUCAAGGACUAUGGGGAUUCCCAGGGCAUUAAACGAAUUAGGUCCAAAACUGGUGUCCGGUUUGUUCAGGAGGCUGAAGAUGUGGCCCAGCUUCAUGCUUUUCAUCAGUCCCUCCGAGACCUCAGCAGUGAACAGAUUCGCCUUGGAGAGGAUUUCAACAGGGAACUUUCCAGAAGAAGCCGGUCAGAUGCUGAAACAAAAAGGGUUUUGGAAGAAUUGACUGAAAAACUUAAUGAAGCCCAGAAACAAGAAGUGGUUUCAGAUCGGGUGGAGCGGAGGCUUCGGGAAAUAGAAAGAGAGAUGCGCACAGAAAGAGAGCUGGUGGAAAGGCGUCAGGAUCAACUGGGUCUUAUGUCCUUGCAGCUACAGGAGGCCCUGAAGAAACAAGAAGUUAAAGCAGAUGAGAAUGAGGGUGUAAUCAAAAAUAAGCUAAGACAAACUGAAAAUGAGAAGAGUCAACUGGAACAGGAAUUGGAGCUAUCUCGAAGGUUACUGAAUCAGUCAGAAGGCAACAGAGAAACACUUCUGCAUCAGGUACAAGAACUGCGAACACAACUAACAAAAGCAGAAGGUGAUCGAAAGGGUCUACAACUUCAAGCAUCUCCAAUUACCAGGCAACAGUCAAACCAUCAGGAUGAACAAGGGGAUGACUGGAAGUUUAGAAGAGGGGUAGAGCGGGAAAAACAGGAUCUGGAGAAGCAGAUGACAGAUUUGAGAGUGCAACUGAACUUCAGUACAAUGGCAUCCGAAUUAGAGGAAGUAAAGCGGUGCAUGGAGCGUAAAGACAAGGAGAAAGCACAUUUGUCAGCACAAAUACAGAAUUUAACACAUGAAUUGGAGAGCAGAGAAAAACAACAGCUGCACAUGUUGGAUCAACUAAAGGAGAUCCAGAAUCACUUUGAGACGUGUGAGGCCGAACGCAAGCGCGCUGACCUCCAGAUCUCAGAACUGACGCACCACGCAGAGGAUGCCACCAAGCAGGCCGAGCGGUACCUCAGUGAGUUGCAACGGUCGGAGGCCCUGAGAGAGGAGGCGGAGAAGAGGCGAGAAGACCUGAAACUGAAAGCUCAAGAAUCCAUUAGGCAGUGGAAGCUUAAGCAUAAGAAAUUAGAGCGAGCAUUGGAGAAACAGUCUGAAACUCUUGAUGAACUGACAGAAAAGAACAAUCAGAUUCUGAAAGAAAAGGAUGAAUUGAAAAACCAGCUUUAUGCAGCAUUACAACAAAUAGAGAGUCUUAGAAAGGAGUUGAAUGACGUCUUAACCAAGCGUGCCCUUCAAGAGGAGGAGCUUCACUCUAAGGAAAAGAAACUGAGUGAUGUUAAGUCUCAUCAAACUGAACUUGAGCUAGAAGUCAAGAAUUCCCUGGAUAACAUCCAUAGACUGGAAAGUGAAUUGAAAAAGCAUAGUAAGAUUCAAAGCCAGAUGAAAGUUGAGAAAGCUCACCUGGAGGAAGAAAUCACAGAGCUAAGAAAGAGCCAGGCUCAGGACAAAGCUAAGCUUCUUGAGAUGCAAGAGUCCAUUAAGGACUUGAGUGCAAUUCGAGCAGAUCUUGCUAAUAGAUUGGCUGAGGAAGAGCGAGCCAAGAAAGCGGUCCUCAAGGACCUUGCUGACCUCACAACACAGGCAAAGUCCAAGGAUGAAGAGACAGCGACAGUCAUCACACAAUUAAAGCUGGAGCGAGAUGUUCACCAGAGGGAGCUGGAAGAUCUCACAUCCUCAUUGCAGAGUGUGAAAACGAAGCAUGAACAGAAUAUCCAGGAGCUGAUGAAGCACUUUAAGAAAGAAAAGACUGAAGCUGAGAAUCACAUUAGGACCUUGAAGGCCGAAAGUGUAGAAGAUAAGAAUAUAGCUAAAGUCCAUCGUUGUCAGCUAGAGAAGCUGAAGUCACAGUGUGAGAGACUGACAGAGGAGUUAAGCCAGAAUGAAAAUGAGAACAAAAAGUUGAAGCUAAAAUAUCAGUGUUUGAAGGACCAGCUAGAAGAAAAGGAGAAACAUAUAAGCAAAGAAGAAGAGCACUUAAGAAGAAUGGAAGAGGCCAGACUGCAGCUCAAGGAUCAACUGCUUUGUCUGGAGACUGAACAGGAAUCCAUUCUUGGGGUGAUAGGGAAGGAAAUUGAUGCAGCUUGCAAAACAUUCUCUAGGGACUCCAUGGAAAAAUUGAAAGUUUUUUCAUCUAGUCCUGAUGUACAUUAUGACCCACAUCGCUGGUUAGCAGAAAGCAAGACUAAACUUCAGUGGCUCUGUGAAGAACUGAAAGAAAGAGAAAACAGAGAGAAAAAUCUGCGACACCAGCUGAUGCUCUGCAGACAACAACUCAGGGACCUGACUGUCAACAAGGAAUCUGAGCUCCAGUGCCUCUUUGAACAGAUAGAAAGGCAGGAGCAGCUGCUGGAAGAAAUCCAUCAGGAGAAGAGAGAUCUGCUACAAGAGACCCAAAGGAAAAAUGAAGAAAUGGAAUCUCUGCAGGACCGUGUAAAUGUAUUAGAAACGAGUACCCGAGUGGCCUUGGACCAUCUGGAGUCUGUGCCUGAGAAACUGAGCCUCCUAGAAGAUUUCAAAGACUUCAGAGAUUCCUGCAGUUCAUCUGAGAGAAUUGAUGGAAGAUACUCUAAAUCCAUGUCUCCCCGACAUUCUCUUCAGCAGCGCCAAGAUGACAGCAAGUACAGAAUCAAAAGCUUCAAAGGUGACAGAAGCUUUACUGAAGGUCCCCACACUUAUGGCUUAGAUCUCUCAUCCUCCUGGAGAGAUCACAGUCGCUUCCUGUCUAGUCCACGAUUUUCACACUUGAACUCAUUUACUAAAAGAACUGUUGCUCCAGAUUCAGCUUCAAUCAAGGAAGACGCCACAAGUUUACCAAUGAGUGGAACCAGUCCACAAUUGAAGGAAGAAUAUGAAAGCAAAAAAAGCAAAAUGUAACUAGUUAUUUCACAUGAGUGUUUCCAAAUAAUAAUCACAUAUGUGUCCUUGCUGUGAUUGGCCCAGACUGUUUAACAGACAUACCUGUUGCUCUGGCUCUUUGAUAUUGCCAAAUAUUAGUGCAAAUGACAAUACAGUUGGUCUUCAUGAAUGAUGUAACUUAAACCAACCCAAAUAAUACCAGGUCAUAAGUGAUGUGCAGCUAUUUAUUGGCAACUUUGGCCAGCAGAGAAAGAGUAAUAUUUUUCACUUUGCAUUUUCCUUUUUCAAGUGUGGUCAGUCACAUUUUCCUGACCAAAAUUUGGGUUUGUAAUUGAGGCCUUUCAGAAAUUGCAGGCUAAAAAGGAGGAAAAUUAGUUCCCCUUGAGGCAAAAGUUGCCAGCAUUUUAGAUUCAGGGACCAUUUGUAUACAGCUGAUUAUUUUAAAGAAUGCUUUCUCCCUAAUAAAUUAUCAAGUGUUAUAACAUGUCAUGGAGAUAUGCAUAUAUCAUAUUAGUCUGCUUUAUAAGUGUUCAGAAUUGUAUACAGAAUCUCGGCAGUUUAUUACUACUUGUAGUUUCUUAUUUCCAAUCAUCCAUUUUUAUUAGCAAUAAAGAAUUUAUAAAUGAUACCAAAUUGUAGAGCAUUAAAGCAUUCAUAUCACAGUUUAUUUGUCUUACUACAGCCAAAUGUCCCACGGUGAUCAUUUGACUCAUACCCUGGAAUAUCUUUGGUUUACUGUGACCAAAACCACAGCACAAAACUUGUGUCACUGGGAUUGAGUCUGCAAGCGUUCUCACAUAAUUUGGC